UUAAGAUUAGAACUGAAUUUGAUCUGUUUGGAUUAGCAGAAUGCAUGUACCUAUUUUGACUAAACUAAUGAGUUUUCACAUCAAAACUGAACAGGUAGUCCUCAGUUUAUAACCAAAGUUACAAUGGAUCUACCCUUACAACAUGGAUUCAAAGGGCUGAGGGUCACUUCCCCUGCAGUCGCAUGACUGAACUUUGGGCGCUUAGCAACAUGGCCACAUUUACGGCCAUUUGCAGCACCCACAAUCAUGUGAUUGUAUUUUAUCAUGAUUUUGCCCAAACCUGCCACUUCUAGUUUGGGGCAAAAUCAUACCAUAGCAAGGCAUUGGUUUCCUUAACAACAGCAGUGUUUGCUUAAUGACCACGUGGGCCACUUAUGUGCUGCAAAAAAAGGUCAUAAAAUGGGGUCAGUUACAUCACCAACCUAUUUUGCAACCAUCGCGACUUACUACUUAUGAUAGGCAGGCUGCAUUAUGGUCGUAAGUCAAGGACUGUCUUUAUGUCCUGUACAUGGAGUUUGUUGCUGCUUCUUCCAUAUGUGUAUUUACAAAGAAGAAUCCUGCAGAUUCAGACAAUUGGUCCCAUUUCCGCACACAAAGUGAACUGGUACCAAUCGGUACAGGAACCCACCCCUGCUCCAAAUGGGUUGUGUUUACACUUCUAGGAAGCCUGGCCAAAAUCCAACAUACCUGGAAAGUGUCAUAUCGAACUUUGAUCCAGGAAACCCUGUUGGAAUUUGGGAAGCUUUGUGACAGAGUGGGUGAAGGGAGUAGCCUCUUCGUCUUUCCUAUACCUAUCCUUCCCAUUUCAGGUGGUAGCUUUGGAUGGGAUGAUGACUUUUCCUCCAUACCUGUGAAAUCACCUGUCCUGUCAUCAUUGACCUCAGAGGCACCGGAGGACAGUCUCCCCAGACUGUCACCCACACUAGUAUCUGCUCAGAAGCAAGUGCUGCCCAUCCAGUUUUCACGCUUCACAGUCUCACCUGCUGCAGUAUCACGGUUCUCCAUCACACACGUCACUGAUUCAGAUGUUGAGCCUGUAGGAGGCAACAGUGAAAAUGGCAAGAGAGAGUGAACUUGGCUAUCUCUCCCUUUUGGACUUCCUACUUUGCCCCCAAGGCACAGUUUCUGCACCAGGGGACAUGAGCACGGAUGAAGCCCAGGAGCUGGCUGGAGCAGAACUCUGCAGGGCCUCGUUCAGAUUUUAUUGGACAGACUUUGAACUGCCGCUGGGCUGGGGCCACCUUACCAUGAGGUGGUUUGCGAUGGUUGUGCAAACAUGAGUGUGUGUGUGAGAGAGAGUGAGUGUGUACGCGCGUGCGCACGCACCCAAGAAAGUGUUUGUGUACAAAUAGACACAUAUAGACAUAUAGAACCUAUAGCAUUUAAAGGGUAGAUCUGUGACCUUGCUAACAUUGCCACAUAAGCCAUUGUAAUAUCCCUAGCUCAUGCCUCUUGAUGUUCUGACCCACACUGACUUCCCCAGUUGGGGCACUUGCCCUGAGACAUCCUCCUCCCCCUGCCUGUUCUGUGAGCUUAUCGUGUCUUCUUUCCACACCCCAUAGGGGAUAUUGAGAGAGCACGUAGCCUUGCGCCUUGUGCCAUUCCAACAUGCUUCAGGUGGAUCCUCAAGCACUGGUACUUGUGUCUUGCCACAGGGGGCAAGUUCUCCGUGUCCUUUCUUCAGUGUGCUGUGUCCAGAUAUCAGGCGGAGUUGAUGGUCCAGUGGACACAAUCGGUUACCAGAAGAGCCAGAGACAAGUGUAGGCCAAACGACCUGAAACAGGUAGGGGAGCCAGCUGAAGUGAAGGCCACAUUUAAAUGUUUUGAGCAGGGAAGACUCCUGGUCUCAGCAGCCAUUUCCCCCCCUUUUCUGCUUCUGUUUUUCACUGACCCUGGGUUGCUGUCGCUCAGCUGCAUCAUGGUUGCGGAACUCAAAAUUGUCCCCACCCACCGCCUCUUGAGAAUCGCAACCUGGCCCCAGGUACUCAUCUCUACUGAAGACUUUGCCUUCUGUUAUGGGCAGGAUCAAUAUGAGCAGCGCGGAAGUGGUGCCUGGAUGGCCUUCAGCACUCCCCAUUUCUCCUCCUUAGCCUUGAGAGUGCAGCCUGAAUCCCUGCAGGUGGAAUGGGAGUACAGGAAUUUUAAAAAAAAACUUAUUUAAAUGUUUCGCUGGCUGGGAGAGACUGUGGUGUUGAGGCCUACCAAAUGCUACCUUCCCGUUUUCUGCCAUCUUCAUCCUUUCUCUACUACAGCAUUAUUUGGUGAGUGCCUCCCAGAGAGCCACGAUGUGACCUGCUGGGAAUGUGAGAGGAAUACCAGGUCUUAGGGCUGGGGGCUUUUUCCAAACUUCCUUUGUCACCCUUCAAUCGCAGGAAGAAACGCUCGGCAGACGCAUAGCAAAAGCAGAUCAAACUGCCACUGAAACUAUUUUUGUACAAAGUUUACCCAUUACUGUAUCACUCUGCCCUAACAGAAUGGCAGAUUUAAGUUAUUGUUGCCAAAGAGAUGUAAAGAGUUAACUUUUAUCCAGGCAUCUUGGGCAAGGGUGGGGUGGGGGGGACAGCUGGGGGAGAAGAAAAAGAAUAGUUUUGGGAUUAUUUUGUUUCUUAGAUUUUGAUUAGUUCAAGAUUUAGAAUAAUUGUGCAAUUUGGACUGUGGGGUAAAAUGGAAACGAGUCAGAGGCAUGUUGCGCUUAGGAGUUGUGGCUUGUGGGGACUAUAGACCAGUCACUGGCUUUGGAAAUUGGGGAGGGGGGUAAACAGGCAAGAGCAAAAGGCAGCUGGUAGCUACUGGGCCAUUUCCUCACAGGGUGAGAGGAAACAUAGAGGGGACCCUACAGAGCUGCAGAAUGUUUGUGUGUUGUGCUUCAUUGUGCUUCCAGUUUGGAGUAUGUUGUGACUACAGGUGGCAAGCUUGGCACUGGUACUGAUGCCCGAUUCUGGUUCAUGAGCACAGCUUUCAUUUUCAGAUAUAGCCAUGUGUGAGGCAAUGAUUCAUCAUCCCUCUAUUAGGCAGCAUUUAGGUGAUAGUGACAUCCAGAUUGUUUUGACUUACUUUCUCCUACCACUGCUACCCACAUCAGUUCCAGCCAGCUGGAGAAGGGUUUCACAAGGUGCAGUUCUAAGUGUAAACUUAGUGGAGCAAGACAUCUUUAAGAUGCUGCAUGCUUUCAGCCAGUUAUGCCCCCCCCCCCCCGAGUCAGAAUACUUUCUACGUCUGACAUUUCUUGCAAAGACCCUUCUGUGAGUUCUAUUUUUUUUGUUCAAAGAGGUAUUGGAUGUGAAAGUUUCAUGGCCUCCUUGGGUGGUGGAGACCUAUAUGCCUUUGGCUCCACUUCUUCUGAAGCCCACUAAGGGCAACACAGAUGCCACACACUCAUUUCUCCUGCUUUUAGUUGGUGAACCCAAAUUAAUAAUACUUGUCUUUCCUUGGACUACCAUAUAUUCCCUUAGCUAGCAUGAUCAGAACACAACAGCCUGCUUGUGGGUUUAGGGCAUUCUUACUUGCUUUUUUUUUGGAAAGCUCCUGAACCAGAGUCCCUGAGAAAGCGAGUGCCAGGCUCCAGUAUGGAGCUGGAUUUAGAGACAGCAUUCCUGUUCCUUGGUUCCCCCACUUUUGUUUUGUUUUGUUUAAGGGCUGCUUUAAUUUUGAUGCCAACUUGAGAAGGAGGCAACACUGGAGCCAUGAGGACCUACACUAGCAGCUACUCAACCCAGAACCCAGGAGAGCUGAAGGGAACCUUUGUGUACUUUACUGUCCGCAUUUUGCCCACUAACAUCAAAGGAGAGAUAGGAUAAACUGCGCACAUUCCAAAAUUUCAAUCAAAGCAAGUCCUUCUAUCAAUGGCUUUGGAAAGAAAUGUGUGCAAACUAUAGAUGUUUUCUAGAGAAGGUGUCAUCUAUUGGCUUCUAUGGCUGAAGGCACUUUCAAAAUACUUCACUGUCACAAAUCAAUUUGGCAGCAGCUGGGAUGUAUGCCAUGACACAAGUUUAGUAGAACUCUCCCCUCAUUAGGUGCCAAGCACAUUGGCAUCAUCUGGAAAUGGAAUCUGGUGGUUUACAUUUCCCACCCACUCUCCAUUCUUCUGCAAACCAAAAUGGUGGCAUGUAAUUCUCUUGAGCAGUCAAAGACUAGAGCCUGGGUUAGUUAGGACAGGCUGAAUGAGUCUUGGCCUCUUGGUAAUGAAACUAAUGAAUAAGAAUGUAUUGGACCCCAAGGUACUUCUUCAAACAUAUAGCUAACUACCAACCACUUUUAUAGGGUGGUGGAGGAGGAGGUAAAUAUCUUGGUCAGAAAUAAUGUAGUCACUGAAAUUCUUAAGUAGACAAAGAUUAACCAAUGAAUGAAAUUCUUGAUUUUCUGCAAUAUACCCAGUUCCAUUUUCCUCCCCGGUUAGUUUAGAAAAACUCCACAGGUGUUUUGGAAUACCAGGCUUGUAAUAAAUCCCAAACUGCAUCUCAAAGCCUGCAGAUUACCCAUCCUUACCUGAGGAGCUUUUAUAUUGCCCUCUAUAAUACUGCAACCUGUUAAAAAAGCAGUUAGCUGCAUUUUCCAAUGGGAUUCGCCACAUUGGAAGUCCCAUUCCCAACCUCCCACAAGUUUUUAAAAAAGAGAGAGAUUAUUAUAAUUGAUUUCUUCCUUUCUUUGCAUUCUCAGAUCUCUUUUCGGCACCUGGAAUAAGAAGAUUUGGGGACUUAAUAGGCAGGGAAAUAAAGGCUGGAUUUACCCAUAGGAGGAAUCUUUGCUUGCUCAUUUUAUACGGAGCAUCUCUAUGAUGCUGUCACAACCCAUUCACUUCAGCUCUUUUUUCCUGUUUCUUCCAUUUCUAUUUGAACUUCAUAAACACCACAAGUGUAAGUGAACUUCAACCUUUUAAUGGCUUUGACAUGUGCUGUCUGCUGCAUUAAUCUGUUGGGCACCAUGCUAUUCACUCUCAUAGAUGGAUAGAUGAAAAAUUGCACUAAAAUGCACUUUCCCUGAAAAUGAAUAAACAUUUUAGCAAUAACUUGAAAUAAAAAAGCACUUUACCCCCAAUUUUAAAAAGUCUAAAGGGGGAGGCUGCAUUUUUGUUCUCCUAUCCAUAUAGCUUUAUGUCUAUGUCCUUCCUUGUGUAUGUGAAAUAUUGCGGAAUGUGCCCAGGCUGAUCAAAGAGGAUACCAGUCAAAGGGUGGUUUGCUUUUUCUCCCAUCAGGCAUUUUACUGAAUGCAUCAGAAACUUCAAACUGUUGUUUUUUAACUGAUCUGUUGGAAUGGAUCAGGUUGAGAGCCUUAACUUGAGUUCAAACCCAGCUAAAACUCCCCCUUCCUGAGGGUACCCUGUGCAUUUGGGAACAUCAUUCUCAUAAUUCUGCAUACUUCCCACCAGUUCAUCUUACACACCUGGCGAACAGUAGAAUGUUGUCAAAUCCAGAACUCUGUUCUGUGUUUGGGGAAUGUAACUGAUAUCCGUCUGGACUGAAGCAGCUGGUGAAAAUGCAUCGGACCCCCCCCCCCAGAGGUGAGGGAAUCCUAGGGCUUUAUAGAUACUGAAUAGAUACCAAAUGCAAACUUACCUUUGCAUUUGGACAUCAAAAGCUAUCUUGUAGGUGCAAGAGUAGGCCUAAAUAUUACUUCCAUAAUGCCUGACAAAACUGAAGACAGAGCAGUUGCAACUUUGUUAAGAUUUCCAGUGGCUAUUUCUGCCUUGAAAUAACGGGCAUGUUGUGAACAUGCCAAUUAACACACCUUUACAAUCAGUUUAUAUUAUAUUCAAAUCAAGCAGACAUUUAGGGGGGGGGGGCAUGUAUAGUUUAAGUUUCCCUGAUGCUCUGAGGAAUGCAAAAGACUCAUUAAUCCUCAUUGUUCUGGGAUUUGUUGUUUCCCCCUUUUGGCACACUCAGCCUGUUAUUUCCUAGCCUUGGUUUUUCCCUCUGCAGCGCCAUUAAUUAAUGCUGAACUGGAAUAAUUUGUGGAUGGCAAACAAGGCUGAACUACAUAACAGCCAAGAUAGCUUGGGAUGAUAAGUGGCUUAGGAUGCUCACAAUCAAUAUCCAUUGUCUCUACUGGAGUGAUCCAGAGCGAUCUGGUUAUGCUACAGUAUUUGCUGGGUAAAUAUAUAGAUCCACCCUCUUUAAAAUAAAUAUGAAAAAGUCCAUCCUGCAGGCUUCAGACUAUCCCAUCCAUCACUUGCUUGGGAGCCUUCUAAGCACCAUCAGAGCAAAUGGAUCCAACCUCCCAACCUGGAUCCCCUUCGGUUACUAAUCUCACUCACUUUUAGAAAAUAGCUUUCAGCAUGUCACACAAUGCCUGGAGCACCCCCCCAACCCCCCCUGUAAAUCUCAGCUUCAGAAUAAUGUGGAUAACAAGGGAAUCUCCUCCCAAUUCAUGAGUGAUAGAAAGGACAGAGGACUGGGAUUGCUUUUGAAGGGUUCCAUUGUCUGAAAGAGCCAACUCCAAAGACCGAGAGAGGCAGGAGGAGAAAUCUGACAUAAGAGUUUUAACAUCCAUUUCUGAAUUCAAGGGGUGGAAUUGCCACACUGAAUGGCAGGGGGCUGUCAUUUGGACAAGAUUGAUCUUCCUUGACUAAAAAACUAGGGUCUGAAGCCCACAUGGCAAUCUUACUUUCUAUAUAAUACAUAGGAAGUGAAUUUUGCAUACUAUAGGUAUGCAAGUUGCAGGAUUGACACAAGUAUGGGAGUUAGAUUUAUUUCAAAGAGUGCAAAAUACCCCUGUGGUCUGAGAACAAUUAACCAGUGGAAUGGUUUACUUCCAGAAGUCCUGGGUGCUCCAUUCACCAGAGGUUUUAAAGAAGAGACUGGGCAGCCAUUUGUCCAGAAUGGCACAGGGUCUCCUGCUUGAGAAGGGGGUUGGACUAGAAGACCUCCAAGGUUCCUUCCAGCUCUUAUUUUCUAUUCUGUAUUCUGCUAUGGUGAUAAACAAGAGACUAAGAGCAUAAGAUGCCUUUAAGAAAAGAGCCAAAAGCAAAUAGGGGCAUAGAUGAUCUUAAAUCUCAAAGCCCAAAGAGGAAGUCCUUCCUCCCUUUUUGCGACAUAACUUGCCGCAAAAUAGACUUUUACUACAAGAGACUCUUCUAAACAGGGGUGUGCAAGCUAUUCUACAAGAUUCGUUUUUAUUUAUGAACGAGAAGCCUCUUGGGGAAAUAACAAAUUCAAUGGCGGGGGCACUGUUAUUCCUUAUUUUAACAUGGAGAGAUAUUUGGGAAUCAAAAUUGAGAAUUUGAGAAGCCAUGGGUAGAUCUCCUCCUCCUUUUAGUAGACAAUUGAGGCAAAGCAAAAGGAGAAUUUUACCAAGAAAAGGCAGGUCACUGUUGAGUAUUUCCAGAUUCUUAGCACCUUUCAAUCUCAAUGGGUCUCCCAAAAUAUUCUGUGUAGAUGUCCUGCACCUGUCUGGAUUUUCAGCAACUAUCAGGUGGUAUUGGUCCACAUUGGUACAUGCAGGAAUGACUGUGCUGGCUUUAGAUAAUUGAGAGCUGUACUCAUGCACCUGGAGGGGUUUUGUGUGUGGAGUGUGUGUGUGUGUUGUCUGUGUGUGUGUAUUCUCAUUCUACCACAUUAAAUGAAAUGCAAAUCUGUUAGCUACACAGUGUGAUUCUAGCUUGCCACUGCCAUAUUCCAUUUUCUAAGGCAAAGACAGAACCAGUACCAUGACAAAAGAGCAGGUACAGGAAAUGGUAAGUAGUUACAGCCCAGUUUGCUCUCUAAGUUUCAUUUCCUUAAUUUCCUUAUCUAGUUACCUUUGAAAAGGCUGCCCCUAUAGGUAUAUGGUCUAUAGUAACAGACAGCUGUCAACCCCUGAGAGACUGCAUGAGGUCAGAACUAGAGCUAUGUUUUGGGUUAAUGAUCUUCUUUGAAACAGAGAGAAAUAGAGAGGGGUGGGCUAUUUACAGUGGGCUAUUUACAGUGUAUUUUAUUGAUACGGGUCAUAAUUGCUGUAUUUUUUAUCAGUGCUGAGUUCCAUACAGCUCCCAGCAUGUGUGUCAAAUACCAUUGGUCCAAUAACUAUUAAAAAUAAAUCAUUUUUAAAAUAA